rnacentral:rRNA from 1 species
UACGGGAGGCAGCAGUGGGGAAUAUUGCACAAUGGGCGAAAGCCUGAUGCAGCUAUGCCGCGUGUAUGAAGAAGGCCUUAGGGUUGUAAAGUACUUUCAUCGGGGAGGAAAAAACAAAACUAAUAAUUUUAUUUCUUGACGUUACCCGAAAAAGAAGCACCGGCUAACUCCGUGCCAGCAGCCGCGGUAAUACGGAGGGUGCUAGCGUUAAUCAGAAUUACUGGGCGUAAAGAGCACGUAGGUGGUUUUUUUAAGUCAGAUGUGAAAUCCCUGGGCUUAACCUAGGAACUGCAUUUUGAAACUGAAAUACUAGAGUAUCGUAGAGGGAGGUAGAAUUCUAGGUGUAGCGGUGAAAUGCGUAGAUAUCUGGAGGAAUACCUGUGGCGAAAGCGGCCUCCUAAACGAAUACUGACACUGAGGUGCGAAAGCGUGGGGAGCAAACAGGGAUUAGAUAC